GGGUUGUGAGGUUAAGCGACUAAGCGUACACGGUGGAUGCCCUGGCAGUCAGAGGCGAUGAAGGACGUGCUAAUCUGCGAAAAGCGUCGGUAAGGUGAUAUGAACCGUUAUAACCGGCGAUGUCCGAAUGGGGAAACCCAGUGCAAUUCGUUGCACUAUCGUUAACUGAAUACAUAGGUUAACGAGGCGAACCGGGGGAACUGAAACAUCUAAGUACCCCGAGGAAAAGAAAUCAACCGAGAUUCCCCCAGUAGCGGCGAGCGAACGGGGAGCAGCCCAGAGUCUGAAUCAGCUUGUGUGUUAGUGGAACGGUCUGGAAAGUCCGACGGUACAGGGUGAUAGUCCCGUACACCAAAAUGCACAGGUUGUGAACUCGAAGAGUAGGGCGGGACACGUGGUAUCCUGUCUGAAUAUGGGGGGACCAUCCUCCAAGGCUAAAUACUCCUGACUGACCGAUAGUGAACCAGUACCGUGAGGGAAAGGCGAAAAGAACCCCGGCGAGGGGAGUGAAAAAGAACCUGAAACCGUGUACGUACAAGCAGUGGGAGCACCUUCGGGUGUGACUGCGUACCUUUUGUAUAAUGGGUCAGCGACUUAUAUUCUGUAGCAAGGUUAACCGUAUAGGGGAGCCGCAGGGAAACCGAGUCUUAACUGGGCGUUAAGUUGCAGGGUAUAGACCCGAAACCCGGUGAUCUAGCCAUGGGCAGGUUGAAGGUUGGGUAACACUAACUGGAGGACCGAACCGACUAAUGUUGAAAAAUUAGCGGAUGACUUGUGGCUGGGGGUGAAAGGCCAAUCAAACCGGGAGAUAGCUGGUUCUCCCCGAAAGCUAUUUAGGUAGCGCCUCGUGAAUUCAUCUUCGGGGUAGAGCACUGUUUCGGCUAGGGGGUCAUCCCGACUUACCAACCCGAUGCAAACUACGAAUACCGAAGAAUGUUAUCACGGGAGACACACGGCGGGUGCUAACGUCCGUCGUGAAGAGGGAAACAACCCAGACCGCCAGCUAAGGUCCCAAAGUCAUGGUUAAGUGGGAAACGAUGUGGGAAGGCACAGACAGCCAGGAUGUUGGCUUAGAAGCAGCCAUCAUUUAAAGAAAGCGUAAUAGCUCACUGGUCGAGUCGGCCUGCGCGGAAGAUGUAACGGGGCUAAACCAUGCACCGAAGCUGCGGCAGCGACACUAUGUGUUGUUGGGUAGGGGAGCGUUCUGUAAGCCUGCGAAGGUGUGCUGUGAGGCAUGCUGGAGGUAUCAGAAGUGCGAAUGCUGACAUAAGUAACGAUAAAGCGGGUGAAAAGCCCGCUCGCCGGAAGACCAAGGGUUCCUGUCCAACGUUAAUCGGGGCAGGGUGAGUCGACCCCUAAGGCGAGGCCGAAAGGCGUAGUCGAUGGGAAACAGGUUAAUAUUCCUGUACUUGGUGUUACUGCGAAGGGGGGACGGAGAAGGCUAUGUUAGCCGGGCGACGGUUGUCCCGGUUUAAGCAUGUAGGCUGAUUAUCCAGGCAAAUCCGGAUAAUCAAGGCUGAGGUGUGAUGACGAGGCACUACGGUGCUGAAGUAACAAAUGCCCUGCUUCCAGGAAAAGCCUCUAAGCAUCAGGUAACAUCAAAUCGUACCCCAAACCGACACAGGUGGUCAGGUAGAGAAUACCAAGGCGCUUGAGAGAACUCGGGUGAAGGAACUAGGCAAAAUGGUGCCGUAACUUCGGGAGAAGGCACGCUGGUGUGUAGGUGAAGCCCCUGCGGGUGGAGCUGAGACCAGUCGAAGAUACCAGCUGGCUGCAACUGUUUAUUAAAAACACAGCACUGUGCAAACACGAAAGUGGACGUAUACGGUGUGACGCCUGCCCGGUGCCGGAAGGUUAAUUGAUGGGGUUAUCCGUAAGGAGAAGCUCUUGAUCGAAGCCCCGGUAAACGGCGGCCGUAACUAUAACGGUCCUAAGGUAGCGAAAUUCCUUGUCGGGUAAGUUCCGACCUGCACGAAUGGCGUAAUGAUGGCCAGGCUGUCUCCACCCGAGACUCAGUGAAAUUGAACUCGCUGUGAAGAUGCAGUGUACCCGCGGCAAGACGGAAAGACCCCGUGAACCUUUACUAUAGCUUGACACUGAACAUUGAGCCUUGAUGUGUAGGAUAGGUGGGAGGCUUUGAAGCGUGGACGCCAGUCUGCGUGGAGCCAACCUUGAAAUACCACCCUUUAAUGUUUGAUGUUCUAACGUUGGCCCCUUACCGGGGUUGCGGACAGUGUCUGGUGGGUAGUUUGACUGGGGCGGUCUCCUCCCAAAGCGUAACGGAGGAGCACGAAGGUUAGCUAAUCCUGGUCGGACAUCAGGAGGUUAGUGCAAUGGCAUAAGCUAGCUUGACUGCGAGCGUGACGGCGCGAGCAGGUGCGAAAGCAGGUCAUAGUGAUCCGGUGGUUCUGAAUGGAAGGGCCAUCGCUCAACGGAUAAAAGGUACUCCGGGGAUAACAGGCUGAUACCGCCCAAGAGUUCAUAUCGACGGCGGUGUUUGGCACCUCGAUGUCGGCUCAUCACAUCCUGGGGCUGAAGUAGGUCCCAAGGGUAUGGCUGUUCGCCAUUUAAAGUGGUACGCGAGCUGGGUUUAGAACGUCGUGAGACAGUUCGGUCCCUAUCUGCCGUGGGCGCUGGAGAAUUGAGGGGGGCUGCUCCUAGUACGAGAGGACCGGAGUGGACGCAUCACUGGUGUUCGGGUUGUCAUGCCAAUGGCACUGCCCGGUAGCUAAAUGCGGAAGAGAUAAGUGCUGAAAGCAUCUAAGCACGAAACUUGCCCCGAGAUGAGUUCUCCCUGAGACUUUAAGUCUCCUGAAGGAACGUUGAAGACGACGACGUUGAUAGGCCGGGUGUGUAAGCGCAGCGAUGCGUUGAGCUAACCGGUACUAAUGAACCGUGAGGCUUAACCUUACAACGCCGAAG
rnacentral:rRNA from 1 species